rnacentral:rRNA from 1 species
CGGAAACAUGUCUAGCUUGCUAGAUGAUGUCGAGUGGCGGACGGGUGAGUAAUACUUAGGAACAUGCCUUUGGGUGGGGGAUAACUAUUGGAAACGAUAGCUAAUACCGCAUAAUGUCUUCGGACCAAAGGGGGCUUCGGCUCCCGCGCAAAGAGUAGCCUAAGCGAGAUUAGCUUGUUGGUGAGGUAAAGGCUCACCAAGGCGACGAUCUCUAGCUGUUCUGAGAGGAAGAUCAGCCACACUGGAACUGAGACACGGUCCAGACUCCUACGGGAGGCAGCAGUGGGGAAUAUUGCACAAUGGGGGAAACCCUGAUGCAGCCAUGCCGCGUGUGUGAAGAAGGCCUUCGGGUUGUAAAGCACUUUCAGUUGUGAGGAAAGGUUAACGGUUAAUACCCGUUAGCUGUGACGUUAGCAACAGAAGAAGGACCGGCUAACUCCGUGCCAGCAGCCGCGGUAAUACGGAGGGUCCGAGCGUUAAUCGGAAUUACUGGGCGUAAAGCGCACGCAGGCGGUUUGUUAAGCUAGAUGUGAAAGCCCUGGGCUCAACCUGGGAAUUGCAUUUAGAACUGGCAGGCUAGAGUUUUGGAGAGGGGAGUGGAAUUCCAGGUGUAGCG